GACGUAGGGGGCCAGCGUUGUUCGGAAUUACUGGGUGUAAAGGGUUCGUAGGCGGUGCGGCAAGUUGGGAGUGAAAUCUCUGGGCUUAACCCAGAGGCUGCUUCCAAAACUGCCGCGCUAGAGUGCGAGAGAGGCCAGUGGAAUUGCAGGUGUAGCGGUGAAAUGCGUAGAUAUCUGCAGGAACACCCGUGGCGAAGGCGGCUGGCUGGAUCGCAACUGACGCUGAGGAACGAAAGCUAGGGGAGCAAACAGG
rnacentral:rRNA from 1 species